rnacentral:rRNA from 1 species
CUACGGGCGGCUGCAGUGGGGAAUAUUGGACAAUGGGGGGAACCCUGAUCCAGCAAUGCCGCGUGUGUGAAGAAGGCCUGAGGGUUGUAAAGCACUUUCGGUGGUGAGGAAGGUUGAUAUACUAAUAUUGUAUUGAUUUGACGUUAGCCACAGAAGAAGCACCGGCUAACUCCGUGCCAGCAGCCGCGGUAAUACGGAGGGUGCGAGCGUUAAUCGGAAUUACUGGGCGUAAAGGGUGCGUAGGUUGUAUAUUAAGUUAGUUGUGAAAUACCUGGGCUUAACCGAGGGAGGUCAACUAAUACUGAUAGACUAGAGUACGGGAGAGGGUAGUGGAAUUUCCGGUGUAGCGGUGAAAUGCGUAGAGAUCGGAAGGAACACCGGUGGCGAAGGCGGCUACCUGGCCUGAUACUGACACUGAGGCACGAAAGCGUGGGGAGCAAACAGGAUUAGAUACCCUGGUAGUC